rnacentral:piRNA from 1 species
UGGNGAUGCCAGAUUGAUGUAACUUACCUU